rnacentral:rRNA from 1 species
CGUGGGUAACCUGCCCAAGAGACUGGGAUAACACCUGGAAACAGAUGCUAAUACCGGAUAACAACACUAGACGCAUGUCUAGAGUUUAAAAGAUGGUUCUGCUAUCACUCUUGGAUGGACCUGCGGUGCAUUAGCUAGUUGGUAAGGUAACGGCUUACCAAGGCAAUGAUGCAUAGCCGAGUUGAGAGACUGACUCGGCCACAUUGGGACUGAGACACGGCCCAACUCCUACGGGAGGCAGCAG